rnacentral:rRNA from 1 species
UACGUAGGCAGCGAGCGUUGUUCGGAGUUACUGGGCGUAAAGGGUGCGUAGGCGGUUGUUUAAGUUUGGUGUGAAAUCUCCCGGCUCAACUGGGAGGGUGCGCCGAAUACUGAGUGACUAGAGUGCGGGAGAGGAAAGUGGAAUUCCUGGUGUAGCGGUGAAAUGCGUAGAUAUCAGGAGGAACACCGGUGGUGUAGACGGCUUUCUGGACCGUAACUGACGCUGAGACACGAAAGCGUGGGUAGCAAACAGG